rnacentral:misc_RNA from 1 species
AAGUCGUAACAAGGUAACCGUAGGUGAACCUGCGGUUGGAUCAUUAACAAUUAUUAUUGAGCCUCCCUCCCCCGGGCGGGUAGGUUCUCUAACACUUGUGUGCACUGUUUAUUGUCUCUCGGCGUUCGAGGGUUGGGUAGCAGAGCUUGCUCUGAUGCCCUUGGGCUUUACGGCCUUGAUCUACCCUUGAGCGCCAACCUAAAACUUGAUUUUGUAUUUAUACUUUAAGCCUUUAAUUUUAAAUUUAUAAUUUGAAAACAACUUUUAACAACGGAUCUCUAGGCUCUCA